rnacentral:lncRNA from 1 species
AUGGACAGUGUUGAAGACAGUGUUGUGGUGAAUAUAGACAGUGUUGAAGACAGUGUUGAAUACAGUGUUGUGGUUAAUAUAGACAGUGUUGAAUACAGUGUUGUGGUGAAUAUGGACAGUGUUGAAUACAGUGUUGUGGUGAAUAUAGACCGUGUUGAAUACAGUGUUGUGGUUAAUAUAGACAGUGUUGAAUACAGUGUUGAAUACAGUGUUGUGGUGAAUAUGGACAGUGUUGAAGACAGUGUUGAAUACAGUGUUGUGGUUAAUAUAGACAGUGUUGAAGACAGUGUUGAAUACAGUGUUGUGGUUAAUAUAGACAGUGUUGAAUACAGUGUUGUGGUUAAUAUAGACAGUGUUGAAGACAGUGUUGAAUACAGUGUUGUGGUUAAUAUAGACAGUGUUGAAUACAGUGUUGUGGUUAAUAUAGACAGUGUUGAAUACAGUGUUGUGGUUAAUAUAGACAGUGUUGAAUACAGUGUUGAAUACAGUGUUGUGGUUAAUAUAGACAGUGUUGAAUACAGUGUUGUGGUUAAUAUAGACAGUGUUGAAUACAGUGUUGUGGUUAAUAUAGACAGUGUUGAAUACAGUGUUGUGGUUAAUAUAGACAGUGUUGUGGUUAACAUAGACAGUGUUGAAUACAGUGUUGAAUACAGUGCUGUGGUUAACAUAGACAGUGUUGAAUACAGUGUUGUGGUUAAUAUAGACAGUGUUGUGGUUAAUAUAGACAGUGUUGUGGUUAAUAUAGACAGUGUUGAAUACAGUGUUGAAUACAGUGUUGUGGUUAACAUAGACAGUGUUGAAUACAGUGUUGUGGUUAACAUAGACAGUGUUGAAUACAGUGUUGUGGUUAACAUAGACCGUGUUGAAUACAGUGUUGAAUACAGUGUUGUGGUUAAUAUAGACAGUGUUGUGGUUAAUAUAGACAGUGUUGUGGUUAAUAUAGACAGUGUUGAAUACAGUGUUGAAUACAGUGUUGUGGUUAACAUAGACAGUGUUGAAUACAGUGUUGUGGUUAACAUAGACAGUGUUGAAUACAGUGUUGUGGUGAAUAUAGACCGUGUUGAAUACAGUGUUGAAUACAGUGUUGUGGUUAACAUAGACAGUGUUGAAUACAGUGUUGUGGUUAACAUAGACAGUGUUGAAUACAGUGUUGUGGUGAAUAUAGACAGUGUUGAAUACAGUGUUGUGGUGAAUAUAGACAGUGUUGUGGUUAACAUAGACAGUGUUGAAUACAGUGUUGUGGUGAAUAUAGACAGUGUUGAAUACAGUGUUGAGGUGGAUAUAGACAGUGUUGAAUACAGUGUUGUGGUGAAUAUAGACAGUGUUGAGGUGGAUAUAGACAGUGUUGUGGUGAAUAUGGACAGUGUUGUGGUUAAUAUAGACAGUGUUGUGGUGAAUAUGGACAGUGUUGAAUACAGUGUUGUGGUUAAUAUAGACAGUGUUGAAUACAGUGUUGAAUACAGUGUUGAAUACAAUGUUGUGGUGAAUAUGGACAGUGUUGAAUACAGUGUUGAGGUUAAUAUAGACAGUGUUGAAUACAGUGCUGUGGUUAAUAUAGACAGUGUUGAAUACAGUGUUGUGGUGGAUAUAGACAGUGUUGUGGUUAAUAUAGACAGUGUUGAAUACAGUGUUGUGGUUAACAUAGUGUUGAAUACAGUGUUGUGGUGGAUAUAG